ensembl:misc_RNA Metazoa_SRP Metazoan signal recognition particle RNA
GCUGGACGUGGUGGUGGACGUCUGUAAUCCCAGCUACUCUGGAGGCUGAGGCAGGAGAAUCACUUGGGCCCAGGAGGCGGAGGUUGCAGUGAGCAAAGAUCAUGCCACUGCACUCCAGCCUGGGCAACAAAGUGAGAUUCCAUCUCAA